rfam:Triticum aestivum genome assembly, contig: Triticum_aestivum_CS42_TGACv1_scaffold_533316_6DL
AAAGUACUCCCUCCGUCCCAAAAUUCUUGUCUUAGAUUUGUCUAGAUACGGAUGUAUCAAGUCACAUUUUAGUAUUAGAUCCAUCCGUACCUAGACAAAUAUAAGACAAGAAAUUUGGGACAGAGGGAGUAGUUG